GCAAGUUUUUAUUUUAGAGAAGAGAGAAAGCAUGUCCAUGCAUACCUGAAUCAUGGGGCAGAAAGUGAAAUGUGGUGCAGAGGAAAUUCAGGCGAGGAGCCACAAAAACUGAGAGCAAAGUGACUUUGCUAAGAGGCUCUGGGAAAAAUCUCAAAGGGGAGGAGCAAAUGCCCAGACCUAGGAGACUGGGCAGAAUUUGGACACAAGGAAGUCAUUGUGGGCUGACAGUACAGGGUCCAACAGAGGCAAAGAGCUGGAAAUGCAGGGAAAGAAAGGGGAACAUCCUCCUCUUCCAGCGGAGGAAGCUGGGUGAAGAAAGGAGAAGCAUUGCGCUGGUGUGGGAAGCACGGGGCCGCUAAGGUUGAAGUGAGUGGAGAUGGGAGGCGGCGGGAGUCACUAGAGGCUAGGAAGAGAGGCUCACACUACAGAGGGCCUUGAGUGCCAGGCUAGGAAAUCCAUAGGGGAAGAAGCCAAGACUCAAGGAGUUAAGAACUUUUCCAAGGGUAGCUAUUAGCCAGGACUCAAACCUACAUACUUGAAUGAAUUUCUACAACCUGUUAUUGAAGACUAAGGAGUAAGAAUUCUGCCGGAAGACUGUGUUGCCGAACCAAUCAGUUUGUCUAAAACUCUUUCACUCCCCAUCCCCAACUCCCUGUUGGCCUAGGGGCAGUCUGAGAGGGGGCUUAGAAUAAAUCAGAAGAGGGGUCUCAUUCAGAUUGUUUUGCUGUGAUCACAUGUGAGUCAGAUUUUUCUUCUGUAACAAGAGGUAGUUGAAGAGGUAAAUCCCUAAGCUUUCUGCCAUUGUAGACAGGUGUUCUUCUCUGAUCCUCAGGGCCACAGUCGGAAAGGAAGUUGUCUGCACUGAGAACCGGGAGGGAUCCCUCCGUUGCUUCCAUGAGGGUGCGGGACUCAUGGCUCUGGGCCUCCAAGGCACCACGGCCUCUGGCUCCAUUCCACCCUCCCCGCGCUCUCCUCAAACCUCAGGCUUCCUUUUUCUGCCUGCUGCAGGGCUUCUCAGCCUGGGCUGGAUCCUGGACAGACAGGCCCAGGCAGGCUGUGCACUGUGACCUGGGGCCUUGCUGUGAACAAAGAGGACUUCAAGAGGAGAUGGCCUGGAGGAGUUCGCCUUUGUGGUCAUUUUGCUUCAGUCCGUGACAACCUGGCUUCCAUCAAACCAAUCAGCCCAUCACCCAAUACUAGCUGUUCCAAAUAUAAAUUGUUGUCUUUGUCACUUUGCGUAGUCACUCUCCUCUUGAAAUAUACACAUGUUGUGAAAGGACUCUAGAAAUAAAUCUUUCCUCAUUAAAAUUUUCUACACAUGCGUUAAUUUUUCCUCCCUUUUCAACAGCGGACCAGUCAGCAAAUAAUGACUGCCCUUGGUCAUCCCUGGGAAGAUAAAGGAUUAUUAAAAGAGGGCCCGGCAGCUUGCAGAUUACACCUGCUACAUUUGGAGUGGAAAGAGGCUUCUCUGUCAGUGCCCCUUGCCCCCAUGGAAAGACACUAAUAGCAAUCUUCAACCAUAAUUGUUUGGUCCAUUUUGUUCUGGACCAAGUUUGCAUAAGUUUUAAGCCUGAAAGUCAAAGAAAAACGAAAUCUUACACGUCAACAUGGCCUUUCCAUCACUUGAAAAAGGCACCCUCUCUCUCUCUUUCUCUCUGCCUCGUAAACACAGCGGUCUUGCUCAGAGCAAUCUUGAGCUCUGAGCUGUGAAGAAUUGCUGUAGGUAGGAAGAAACGUUGGCUCUGGAAUUCAAUUAACUGUCAGCAUUGCUGUUCGAGUCAGGAUGACUCACUCCUCUUCAGCAAAUGGGCAUGGGGGCUGUGAGCCUCCAAGAUUAAUGGUGAUUGAUAAGCCGCUGGAGCUCCAGGACGAAGCCUCCCAGAAUCCUUCCCUCACCCACACACGUUUUUACAUGAAAAUAUAAUAGAUAGUGGGAGAGGAUGUGUGAGUACAGAGGAGAUGCUGUCAAGAAUUUGCCUGUAUCCUUUUCUUUUAUAUUGGUAAGUUUCACUGGAUUCUAAGCUACUGAAAAGCAGGGACUAUGUUUUAUAUUUCUUUUCUCUCAGUUCAUGUCCAAAUUAAUGCAUCAGGUGAAAAGAAAGGAUGCUGUCUGAUACCCCAUGAGGUAGGUAUGAGGCCCAUUCUAUAAAUGAGGGGAAGCAACGUGCUAAUAAGAGAAAAAGCUAGGACUCGGUCCCAGAAAGUCUGCCAAGGGUGCCAGCUCCAACCGCUGCAGGUGCCGCCUCUUCACGAGCACGUUACGCCAUUUCUCUCUUUAACACGGAAAGCAAAAUGUGGGCCUGACUGUGGUGAGGGCAUGCUUUUCCAUUCUAAAUGGCAGCUAGCAUGCAUUACAUGUACAAUAUACAACAGGAAUACAAUACGCGGGAGAGAAAACCUUCCCUCCCCUUUUCCUCAGGCACCUGGCUGGUUCAGGCUCCAGUGGCUUGGUUUUGUCGCUGGUGUUGUUAGUUUCCCCCAGCAUCCCCAUUCAUUUUCCAGAAUCCUCUGUCCCUCAUUGUAGUUUUGUAUUUGCAGAUACAAUCUAGGAAACAAUUCAGAUGGGAAAAGAAAUCUUUUCAUGAGAAAGGAUAGUAAAAUUAACAGAAAGCUGGUUAAACUUACAAUUUCCUCAAGUAUUGAGAAUAAACAUGAAUCCAUGAGAAUAAAAACUCAGUAUGGAUUUGUCCACAACGCUUAGGAGGAACAUGUUAGAAGUGCCACAUGCAGGCCAGGCGUGGUGGCUCACGCCUGUAAUCCCAGCAUUUUGGGAGGCCGAGGCAGGAGGAUCAAGAGGUCAGGAGAUCAAGAUCAUCCUGGCUAACACGGUGAAACCCUGUCUCUACUAAAAAAAAUACAAAAAAUUAGCCGGGUGUGGUGGCAUAAGCCUGUAGUCCCAGCUACUCGGGAGGCUGAGGCAGGAGAAUCGCUUGAACCCGGGAGGUGGAGCUUUCAGUGAGCCGAGACGCACCACUGCACUCCAGCCUGGGUGACAGAGCGAGACUCUGUCUCAAAAAAAAAAAAAAAGAAAAAGAAAAAGAAAGAAAAAGAAAUGCCACAUGCAUGUAAGAGUCCAGGCAGGGUGGUCAAACUGUCAGAUGCGCAACAUUCGAGGGGCAAAAAGGAUGAAAUAAGAUGCUCUCUAAACGCAUGAGCAAGACCAGCUGUCAAAGCACUGGCGCCUUUAUUCACACAUUUUGUAAACCUCAGGUAGACAGGAGACAGCAGUAAGUACGUGACCUCAGCGCGUGAUCCUCAUUCAAACUGGAAUUCGAGUAUCACUGGUCUCAGCUGCAGACAUUUCAGAGUGGGUCCAUUUGCUCUUAGGAACUUCCAGGGCACCCCAGCACCACUUGUUUUUGCCUUUGUCUUUGCUUUCCUUCCCCACAUCCCUACAAAACCAAACAGACUUGCUCUCCCAGCUUCACAAAGAGAAACGGAUUCCAAGAGGAAAUCACUUCACAGCAAGUGAGCCCUGGGAAGAAUUAAAGACUGAGGAGCCCUUGUAAUGAGAUUAAGGGAAAAAUGCUUUUGUGCAUCCAACUCAGACCCGUCCUCAGUAUGCAGGACGCGAGUGGUGCCAAAACAAACAUGGGUAUUGUUUUGGGAAGGAAAAGGUUAACAAGCUAUGAAAACAAAAUUAGAGAUAUUUUCAAAGCAUGACCCUCAGCAGAAUGAGUAGAAUGCAGUCUACCCAGGCAGCAGCAUUCCCUCCUCACUUGACAUUUAUCCUGCA
rnacentral:lncRNA from 1 species